rnacentral:rRNA from 1 species
UACAGAGGGGGCAAGCGUUGUUCGGAAUUACUGGGCGUAAAGGGCGCGUAGGCGGCCCGCUAAGUCGAACGUGAAAUCCCCGAGCUCAACUCGGGAACUGCGUCCGAUACUGGAAGGCUUGAAUCCGGGAGAGGGAUGUGGAAUUCCAGGUGUAGCGGUGAAAUGCGUAGAUAUCUGGAGGAACACCGGUGGCGAAGGCGACAUCCUGGACCGGUAUUGACGCUGAGGCGCGAAAGCCAGGGGAGCAAACGGG